GACGAGCGCUGGCGGCGUGCUUAACACAUGCAAGUCGAGCGAGGCCCCUCCUUCGGGAGGGUGUCCUAGCGGCGAACGGGUGAGUAACACGUGGGCAACCUGCCCUCAGCUCUGGGAUAACUCCGGGAAACCGGGGCUAAUACCGGAUACGACCUCCACGGGCAUCUGCGGAGGUGGAAAGUUUUUCGGCUGAGGAUGGGCCCGCGGCCUAUCAGCUAGUUGGUGGGGUAGUGGCCCACCAAGGCGACGACGGGUAGCCGGCCUGAGAGGGCGACCGGCCACACUGGGACUGAGACACGGCCCAGACUCCUACGGGAGGCAGCAGUGGGGAAUAUUGCGCAAUGGGCGAAAGCCUGACGCAGCGACGCCGCGUGAGGGACGAAGGCCUUCGGGUUGUAAACCUCUUUCAGCAGGGACGAAGCGAAAGUGACGGUACCUGCAGAAGAAGCACCGGCCAACUACGUG
rnacentral:rRNA from 1 species